GGCCUGAUGGUGUAGUGGUAACACAUCCCUUUCAAUCAACUGCGCCUCCAUGUGACUUUGUGAGAAGUUCCUUGUUCGAAUCAAGGUCAGGCUG